CUCCCCUUGGAGUUUUUCUCUAUGAGCCUGAGAUACAGAUUUUACUCCUUACAGAUCUAUAGAUGGACACAAAUGGAGUCAUUGGAGGCUUGGCACUGCACCGGUGUUCUCUACCACAAAAGCUUCCCUAGGACUAUGAUGUAUUGACCCAUGGUUGGAAGAUGUAAGGACACGUCUAUGCUGAACAACUUAACCUUGUGAAGAAAAUUCCAAUGAUUGCUGGCUAAAUUAAAGCUACAAUUACAUAGCUGCUUGAAGCCUAGGGCUGUGAGCAAGGUUAUGCUCAGCCAGGUGGCUGCACAGAGCCCAGGACUAAGAGCUCUUGUUAUCGGAAGUAGAUUAGGAAAAACACAUCUAGUUACCAUGGCUUAAGGGAACUGCUGGCUGCUGGGAAAAAGGAAAGGCUACUCCUGACAGCUGUCCUUGGGCAGCUAAUUGUUGAGAUAAAAGUACCACGACACGCUGUUCUAGCUGGAAUGGUCAGCUGUAGCUAUUGCUGCUCUCAGUACAGCCAUGGUAGGAAACUGUAAGUGGUCUCUCUUCACAAUAGAAGCAAAUCAGGGAAUAAUAGAAGUUAACUCAUGCAGCUUGUCAUUUUGCAUCACAGUCCUUAUGAUAUUUUUUUGCUAAGUGCUUAUUCAAAAUAUCUUCAAAACUAGUCUCCGGUUUUCUUUUCUAAGCCAGAAGACCUCAAAGCACUUAAUAGCAGCACAUGCAAAUAUGAAUGCAAAGUGAAUUGUAGCUAUCAUUAGAUUAAACAUCAGGUGCAAAACAGAUUUAUUUUCCUUUUCCUUGGCAAGCUUCAAAGGUUGUGCAGUUGGAUCCAUACUUGAAGAUGUUUUUUUUUUUUGUUUUUGUUUUUGUUUUUUUUUUUUUUAAUUUUCCUAAGAAAUAAGCUUGAGAUCUGCUCCUGUGUUUUCUUCAGCUCAUAAUUUGAAGCUGUGAUAGCAGGAAGACUGCUGGGCCUUGUUUCCCAGCCAGAAAGCAGAGCAAACAAACUUUGUUGUCAAAAAUGAGACCAAACCCCUAACAAAUACAGCAGACUAAUAUAGUGAAGAUUAAUGAAAUCAUCUAAAGGAGCACUUCUUCACUAAAUAUUUAAACUGGUGUAUAUAUGUAUGAAGGAGAGAGUUAUAAGCAUGCUAUUUACAGGUACAACUUUUGACUAGAAAACUUAUUUUUCAGGUAGUUGUACAUUAACAGUGACUGCCAAGGCAAAUUGCUUGAAGAAUAUCUU